rnacentral:rRNA from 1 species
AACGAACGCUGGCGGCAGGCUUAACACAAGCAAGUCGAACGCCCCGCAAGGGGAGUGGCAGACGGGUGAGUAACGCGUGGGAACAUACCCUUUUCUACGGAAUAGCUCUGGGAAACUGGAAUUAAUACCGUAUACGCCCUACGGGGGAAAGAUUUAUCGGGGAAGGAUUGGCCCGCGUUGGAUUAGCUAGUUGGUGGGGUAAAGGCCUACCAAGGCGACGAUCCAUAGCUGGUCUGAGAGGAUGAUCAGCCACAUUGGGACUGAGACACGGCCCAAACUCCUACGGGAGGCAGCAGUGGGGAAUAUUGGACAAUGGGCGCAAGCCUGAUCCAGCCAUGCCGCGUGAGUGAUGAAGGCCUUAGGGUUGUAAAGCUCUUUCACCGAUGAAGAUAAUGACGGUAGUCGGAGAAGAAGCCCCGGCUAACUUCGUG